UCUGUGAACGAACUUAAAACAGUUUGAGUUUAUAUUUUCAAAUAGCGUGUUUUGUAGUGAGAGCGAUGUAAAAAGUGAGAAAAAUAUAAUACAAAUGUUCAAAUCUUUUCAAGAUCCGUAUGCAAUGCGUAUUAUUUGUGGAAGUCGCGCGUUGUAAAUACGUCGGAUUGCGGAAACGAGCUACUUAAAGACUACCCUACACUUCUCGCUUAAACGACCGAACCUCGCUGAGAAACGAAUUGAGACAUGGGAUGGCAUCUGUGCUCAACACUACAACCAGACAUGCUGUCCAGACAAGUAUGCCUGAGUGAUGGAGUCGUCGUCUUCUGCAAGAUGAUGCACGAGCCUAUACACGAUGUAGUAGCCACAAUGAUCGAUAGUCCCUAAGAAUUUUCCUAUCUGAGCGACGUGGAACAUCACAACGUGCAAGCCGUCACAAAUAUCCCAAUACUAAUAGGAACGCACGACUGCUUCACGGUAGAAAUUUGCAAGAUAGUCGUUACUACCCGUGCGGGCUUACAAUUCAAUCUACAACUAGCUAAACUAAGAGCAAAUUGAUAGAUUUCAUAGGUUUGAUUCAUAUUACACGAUGUUGUUCCUUCAUUCGUCUUCUUUAGGCCACGUAAACUUCAACAAAACUACUAGAAAUGCACCACGUCGUACUUAAUACUCGCAGCUUUUAGUAUCAAGUCAAUGAUUUCUAAAUUAAGAAAAACUACGAAACCAAUAGAUUUUUAUUGUGCAAAUAAAUUCGCAUCAAGAUAACAGUUGUAUAGAACGAUUCUUACAUUGUAAUCAUAUUACAUUUUUAUUGCGUAAUAAGUUAAAUAAUGUAGUUUUAACAGUUUAACCAUUAAACCACGAAAUAAUAACGAAUUUGUACCUAUAUGCGUCUGAACCACGCGUUCGAAACCAUAAAUUACAAUUUAUUUCAUUUCUUUAUAAUUCAUCAUAUAUAUUAAUAAAAUACAAUCAAAACAUUAAUAAAAAAA